rnacentral:rRNA from 1 species
GAUGAACGCUGGCGGCGUGCUUAAUACAUGCCAGUCGAGCGAACAGACGAGGAGCUUGCUCCUCUGACGUUAGCGGCGGACGGGUGAGUAACACGUGUAUAACCUACCUAUAAGACUGGGAUAACUUCGGGAAUCCGGAGCUAAUCCCGGAUAAUAUAUUGAACCGCAUUGUUCAAUAGUGAAAGACGGUUGUGCUGUCACUUAUAGAGGGAUCCGCGCCGCAUUAGCUAGUUGGUAAGGUAACGGCUUAUCAAGGCAACGAGGCGUAGGCGACCGGAGAGGGUGAUCGGCCACCCUGGAAGUGGGACAGGGACAAGGCGCCUACGGGAGGCACCAGUAGGGAAUGUUCCGCAAUGGGCGAAAGCAUGACGGAGCAACGCCGCGUGAGAGACAGAAGUCCUGGGAGCGUAAUGAUGUGUUAUUAGGGAAAAACAAAUGUGUACGUAACUAUGCACGUAUUGACGGUACCUAAUCAGAAAGCCCCGGCUAACUACGUG